UCUAUUUUGGCAGAUAAGUGCAAUGAAUUUAGAAUUCAUUUAUGUAAAUAAAUUUUACAGAUAGAA
rnacentral:tRNA from 2 species